rnacentral:piRNA from 1 species
UGGAACUGUGCAACCCACAGAUGGGAAGGUC